rnacentral:rRNA from 1 species
GAUGAACGCUGGCGGCGUGCCUAAUACAUGCAAGUCGAACGCAUUGUGGUUGAAAUGAUAUGAAGAACUUGUUCAGAUUUGAUUUUCAACAUUGCAAUGAGUGGCGAACGGGUGAGUAACACGUGGGAAACCUACCUCUUAGCAGGGGAUAACAUUUGGAAACAAAUGCUAAUACCGUAUAAUAAUUAAAACCGCAUGGUUUUAGUUUAAAAGAUGGUCUUGCUAUCACUAAGAGAUGGUCCCGCGGUGUAUUAGUUAGUUGGUGAGGUAAUGGCUCACCAAGACAAUGAUACAUAGCCGAGUUGAGAGACUGACCGGCCACAAUGGGACUGAGACACGGCCCAUACUCCUACGGGAGGCAGCAGUAGGGAGUCUUCCACAAUGGACGAAAGUCUGAUGGAGCAACGCCGCGUGUGUGAUGAAGGGUUUCGGCUCGUAAAACACUGUUGUAAGAGAAGAAUGACAUUGAGAGUAACUGUUCAAUGUGUGACGGUAUCUU